GCCGGGCGAGGUGGCGUACGCCUGUAGUCCCAGCUACUUGGGAGGCUGGGGUGGGAGAAUCCCUUGAGUCCAGGAGUUCAAGGCUGCUGUGAGCCAUGAUUGUGCCACUGCACUCCAGCCUGGGCAACAGAGUGAGACCCUGUCUCAA
rnacentral:SRP_RNA from 1 species